ACGGAGGGUGCAAGCGUUAUCCGGAUUUAUUGGGUUUAAAGGGUCCGUAGGCGGGCCGAUAAGUCAGUGGUGAAAUCUCGCAGCUUAACUGUGAAACUGCCAUUGAUACUGUCGGUCUUGAGUAAAUUUGAAGUGGCUGGAAUAAGUAGUGUAGCGGUGAAAUGCAUAGAUAUUACUUAGAACACCAAUUGCGAAGGCAGGUCACUAAGAUUUAACUGACGCUGAUGGACGAAAGCGUGGGUAGCGAACAG
rnacentral:rRNA from 1 species